UGGGGUAAAAUUGACAGCAGCAAUGUUAUCAUGCAACUCCUUUACUUUCUUAUCCUUCUCCUCAACCAAAUUCUUCAGCCGAGUGAACUCUUCAUGAAUAGCUGGAUCUAGUAAUAGCUUCCGUGCCUGCAUAGAUGGCGGCUUGAGUUGAGCUCUAAGGUCCCGAACUGCAGACUUCAACUCUGCUAUCUCCUGCUCUCUUUUGGCAAAAGUAACAAUAAAUGCAGCCUCCUUUUUCUUUGCUCUUUCCAACUGUUCACGCAAUGACUCCUCAGAUGAUCUGAUGUUCUGAAGAUAACUGACCACAAACUUGGGUUCAGGUGUCAUGCCAGGAGGUAUGAAUGGUUCCUUUUCAAACGCAGAGCGCCACUUUAGUAUUUCAGAUUUUGCUGAUUCAAGUUCUGUCUGAGUUGAUGCUAGGUUAUCCUUACAGUCCUGUAGACUUUCGCGAAGAGACAAGAUCAUCCCUGUUGCUGCACCAGGUGCUGUUUCUUCUACUUUCAACAAAUUACCCUUUUUAGAGCCAAAAAUAUCGUCCUCAUCAUCGUCAAGGUCUCCAAAGCUUCUUUUGGUACCUGAACGUCCAGUGGCGGCGAAAUCUCCACCAAAAUCGAGGUCAUCGUCCAUGUGAUUAUGAGACGCCAUUGAUAGAAUCAAUUCAACAAGCUUAAAGUUCAAUUUGGAACCCUAAAUUUGUUGAACAAUGAGGAGGCUUCAGUGAAAAGAAAGCGGGGAAGGAAGAAAAAUGUUUUGUCACAUCCGG
rnacentral:misc_RNA from 1 species